GACGAACCGUGCGAACGUUGUUCGGAUUCACUGGGCUUAAAGGGCGCGUAGGCGGGCAGCCAAGUCAGGGGUGAAAGCCCCCGGCCCAACCGGGGAAGUGCCUCUGAGACUGGCUGUCUCGAGUGGGGUAGGGGCAGUUGGAACUCUCGGUGGAGCGGUGGAAUGCGCAGAUAUCAGGAGGAACACCAAUAGCGAAGGCAGCUCGCUGGGACGUCACUGACACUGAGGCGCGAAAGCGUGGGGAGCGAAGG
rnacentral:rRNA from 1 species